rnacentral:tRNA from 4 species
GCGGGUGUAGUUCAGUGGUAGAACGUCAGCUUCCCAAGCUGAAUGUCGUCGGUUCGAUCCCGAUCGCCCGCUCCA